UACGUAGGGUGCGAGCGUUAAUCGGAAUUACUGGGCGUAAAGCGUGCGCAGGCGGUUUUGUAAGGCCAGAUGUGAAAUCCCCGGGCUUAACCUGGGAAUGGCAUUUGGGACUGCAAGGCUGGAGUGCGGCAGAGGAGACUGGAAUUCCUGGUGUAGCAGUGAAAUGCGUAGAUAUCAGGAGGAACACCGAUGGCGAAAGGCGGGUCUCUGGACAGUUCCUGACGCUGAGGCACGAAGGUCAGGGGAGCAAACGGG
rnacentral:rRNA from 1 species